UACACUCCUACGGGAGGCAGCAGUGGGGAAUAUUGGACAAUGGGCGCAAGCCUGAUCCAGCCAUGCCGCGUGAGUGAUGAAGGCCCUAGGGUUAUAAAGCUCUUUCACCGGUGAAGAUAAUGACGGUAACCGGAGAAGAAGCCCCGGCUAACUUCGUGCCAGCAGCCGCGGUAAUACGAAGGGGGCUAGCGUUGUUCGGAUUUACUGGGCGUAAAGCGCACGUAGGCGGACUAUUAAGUCAGGGGUGAAAUCCCGGGGCUCAACCCCGGAACUGCCUUUGAUACUGGUAGUCUUGAGUUCGAGAGAGGUGAGUGGAAUUCCGAGUGUAGAGGUGAAAUUCGUAGAUAUUCGGAGGAACACCAGUGGCGAAGGCGGCUCACUGGCUCGAUACUGACGCUGAGGUGCGAAAGCGUGGGGAGCAAACAGGAUUAGAAACCCGGGUAGUCCCA
rnacentral:rRNA from 1 species